rnacentral:rRNA from 1 species
GUGGGGAAUUUUGGACAAUGGGCGCAAGCCUGAUCCAGCAAUGCCGCGUGCAGGAAGAAGGCCUUCGGGUUGUAAACUGCUUUUGUACGGAACGAAACGGUCCGGGUUAAUACCCUGGGCUAAUGACGGUACCGUAAGAAUAAGCACCGGCUAACUACGUGCCAGCAGCCGCGGUAAUACGUAGGGUGCAAGCGUUAAUCGGAAUUACUGGCCGUAAAGCGUGCGCAGGCGGUUUUGUAAGACAGGCGUGAAAUCCCCGGGCUCAACCUGGUAAUUGCGCUUGUGACUGCAAGGCUGGAGUGUGGCAGAGGGGGAUGGAAUUCCGCGUGUAGCAGUGAAAUGCGUAGAUAUGCGGAGGAACACCGAUGGCGAAGGCAAUCCCCUGGGCCUGCACUGACGCUCAUGCACGAAAGCGUGGGGAGCAAACAGGAUUAGAUACCCGAGUAGUCC